UACGGGGGAUGCAAGCGUUAUCCGGAUUUAUUGGGUUUAAAGGGUGCGUAGGCUGUGAGGUAAGUUAGCGGUGAAAUGCCCCCGCUCAACGGGGUGAAGUGCCAUUGAUACUGCCUUGCUGGAAUGCGGAUGCCAUGGGAGGAAUGUGUGGUGUAGCGGUGAAAUGCAUAGAUAUCACACAGAACACCGAUUGCGAAGGCAUCUCACGAAUCCGCUACUGACGCUGAUGCACGAAAGCGUGGGUAUCAAACAGG
rnacentral:rRNA from 1 species